rnacentral:rRNA from 1 species
GAGAGUGGGUAGUCCGCACGAGCGCACCUCACUUUUAGUUGCCAUCAUUAAGUUGGGCACUCUGAAAGAACUGCCAGUGAUAAGCUGGAGGAAGGUGGGGAUGACGUCAAGUCCUCAUGGCCCUUACGUGUUGGGCUACACACGUGCUACAAUGGCAUCUACAACAGGAAGCAAAACGGCAACGUUAAGCAAAUCCCAAAAAGAUGCCUCAGUUCGGAUCGCACUCUGCAACUCGAGUGCAUGAAGCUGGAAUUACUAGUAAUCGUGGAUCAGCGUGCCACGGUGAAUGCGUUCCCGGGUCUUGUACACACCGCCCGUCACACCAUGGGAGUUGGUUCUACCUUAAGGCAAGGUUUUAAACCCUUGACCACGGUAUAGUCAGCGACUGGGGUGAAGUCGUAACAAGGUAGCCGUAGGGGAACCUGCGGCUGGAUUACCUCCUUUCU